rnacentral:rRNA from 1 species
GAUGAACGCUGGCGGCGUGCCUAAUACAUGCAAGUCGAGCGAACAGACGAGGAGCUUGCUCCUCUGACGUUAGCGGCGGACGGGUGAGUAACACGUGGAUAACCUACCUAUAAGACUGGGAUAACUUCGGGAAACCGGAGCUAAUACCGGAUAAUAUAUUGAACCGCAUGGUUCAAUAGUGAAAGACGGUUUUGCUGUCACUUAUAGCUGGAUCCGCGCCGCAUUAGCUAGUUGGUAAGGUAACGGCUUACCAAGGCAACGAUGCGUAGCCGACCUGAGAGGGUGAUCGGCCACACUGGAACUGAGACACGGUCCAGACUCCUACGGGAGGCAGCAGUAGGGAAUCUUCCGCAAUGGGCGAAAGCCUGACGGAGCAACGCCGCGUGAGUGAUGAAGGUCUUCGGAUCGUAAAACUCUGUUAUUGGGGAAGAACAAAUGUGUAAGUAACUAUGCACGUCUUGACGGUACCUAAUCAGAAAGCCACGGCUAACUACGUG